ensembl:lncRNA
CAGACUGGCUGCUGAGGUACGGCAAGGAGACCUACUAUGACAGGCUUUCACGUGCCUUGCAUCACAUCGGCAGAACAGACAUCGCCACUGAAGUGGGGAAGAACAUCAACCAGGACAAAGCCCUGAGCCUGAAGCGCUAUGUUGAAGAUUAUCACAAAUAUGUCAACUCUUUAAACUUUGUUUCAGACACAAAACACCAAAAGCGCGGACACCAGAGGGUCAGAAAAAGAACGGUUAGCGAUCUGACAUGGCGUGACCUGGAUCUGAUUGUGGAGCAGGUUCGCGUCCCUCCGUACCAGAAGGGGCCUUUGGAUGUAGCUAUGCCAGUAUUGUACGGUCUUCUGUUGGGCUUCGGGGGCACCUUGCUCAUAGGCACAGCUUUACUCCUCGUCAUUGUCCACAUUUCUCAUGGAAGGC